AGCAAACACCCCUCACUUUUUUUUUUUUUUUCUCAUCUUCUAUAACCUCCCUUUACUCUUCUCCUUCCUCCAUCUCCCUCCCUCACAACACCAAAUCACCACCAUCACAACCAGUGGUUGCCGCGACCAGCGCCACCAGAAGCCACCACUGGCCGGUGGCUGUCCCCCACGCACCCCUUCUCUCUCAUUCAUUUUUGUGAGCUUUUUCAUCCUCAUUUUAAAUUAGUGCUUUUAAUCUUUAAAGUUUUGGGUAUAUUUAUGAAUGUUAGUUUAAAUUAAUUUAUAUCUUGCUAGAAUUUGUAAUUGGUAAGUGUUAGAGGUGAGAUUUGAAAAUGAAUAAGUUAGGGUUUGUGUUGGGGAUGAAAUUGAAGGUAGUAUGCUUUUAUGUAUUUUGGUGAUUUUGUAAUAUUGGCACAAAUUUAUAGAAGCUUUUGAUAAGUAUUAUUUUUGAUUAAUAAUGGUGGUUUUAAUGAUUAAAAAUAGUUAAAAUAUUUGGUCACUUUUAAUAAUUAAAUAUAAAUUAAUUAUGCUAAUGGUGGUGAAUGUGAGUAUUGUUGUUGAUUUUGUGGUGAUAACAAGUACUAAUAAAGAAUUAUUGUAUAAAAUUGCUAAUAAAGAAUUUUUGAAUCAUGUGUCGCUAGCGAUGAUUAAGUGUUCUCAUUGUUAAUUAUGGGUACAUGGUUGAUGUUUAAUUGUUGUGGUUAGUAUUAAAUUGUUGCCUAACUAAUUCCUUAAUAUGGUUAUGAGAUGUCUAGCCUACUAAUUGCUUUGUUCUUAUACUUUGUCACCUCAAACCUUGAGGAAUGGAACAAAUUUGAUUGAAAAUCAUUACCAUUAUUCUUUGAAACAGAGUGUAAUACACUACAUUAUACUAAUAAAGACCACAUAGUCUUGUUUUAUUGUAAAAGUGUAUAAAUUGAAUCUUUUCCCCUUGAACAUGCCUUGUUUUAGAAUUUAAUGGAAACUAAUGUUAUAGUUAGAUUGAUUGAUGACAUUGUUUGUGAGUAAACAUGUUGUGUGUAUGAUUAGAUUGCAUAUUCAUAUGAGUUGUGGCUUGUAAGGAUCGAAGUAGGGUACUUCGUAGAGCAAGUAGCUCCUAAAUGAAGUCAAGUAGACUUACUAUUCUUACUUUAAACGUGUAUAGGUGCCCGGUUCAUAAGAGGGCCGUAACAACCUCUUUCGGAGUGAUUUUUGUGACCUUUUAUCUUGUAGUUGUAGUGUGGAUCGGCUUGUAGAGAUGGUAGAGAAUGGGUUUCGAUGUCGCGAGAGUGGAAUGUUGGAUUAUAUGAGAUAGAAUGGGAAUGAUUUCUUAUUGAUAAGUUUUAAAUUAUGUUUUAUGAAUGGGAAUGAGUUCCUUAUUGAUGAGAUAUUAAGUUGGUUGUUUAUUGUGACUCCACUGGAUUGGUACCCCAGUUGGUUUAGUUCCCGGAGGCAUGGAUCAUCUGUAUAUGGUCUCUGUACGGGGGUAUGAUCAUACUUUGCCAUUGGGCGCCGGCAUGUUUGUCACCGUCCUUGGCUGAGGUGUUGCCAUGUGAGUCUUGUAAACCCCAAUAUGGUGGUCUCUUGUCACGUAAGAGAAUAUAUGAAAUCAAAGAAGAGAAGGAAAAGGGUGAAGGCAUUGAGAAGUUGAUACAAAUUGAUUGUGGGCUUGGUAACACAAGCAAGCUAAUCAAUUUGGUGAGCUUGUUUAACAUAUGGGUUUGGAUAAUCAUGCAAGUAAGAGCAAGAACCUUGACUCUUACAUGCUGGAUGACAUUGGGAAACAUGGUUUCUAAUUUACUUUGAGCCAAAUGCGAGCCACAUUCUGAACUCAGCAGCAGAAUAACAAGUGUGCUCAAUGUACAGAGGAGCAAGUCCAGUGGUUGUUUAUCAACAAGGGAGAGAACUGGUUCUGGUGUUUACUGAUUUUUGUCCACUUAUUUGCAAAGUUAAAGGGGCACAUGAUAAAAAUGUGAUUGUAUCAACUAAAGAUACCAAAGGAGCCCACAAAAGGCUGCAUACAGGCCAUACAGACCACAUAGAACAGGGCAAGGCGUCAGAACAGCACAGCAGCAGAACUAGCGACCAGGCCACCUUGCACGACACGUGGAGACCAAAACUGUGCAUCCAGGACCUGGGGUAUAGUGGAAAUAAAAUCUUGGUACUUGGAUCUAGCCAUCAAGGGCCUAGGACUAUGCUAACAAUCCACGUGGAGUCGUAGAAGCUGAGCUGAAGGAAGGGUGGUCGACAGUUCUCCUGAUCAGAAUUUGUUUUUUAAGUGUUUUUGUUGCUUUAUGUUUUUGUUUUAAGUGUUUUGUAAAUGCACGUGUCUUUUUAAUGAGGUGUGUGCUAAUAUAGCCGUUAUGUUAGUUGAGAGCUCUAUAUAAGGAGAGCCUCACUUGUGUAUCAUACAUCUUACGCUUUCUUUUUGAUCAUUCAAUAAGAAUAUUGAGGUAAUUCAGAAAAA